AGAUUAUUUAAGCAUAUAAAUAAUGUAAACCACAUUCUCUGGUCUCUAUAUGAUAAAGCUAGAUAUUAAAUACAAAACUGGAAAGCAAAAAAAAAAAGAAAGAAAGAAAGAAACAGUAANAAAAGACAUCAGAAAAACAGAAGCACCAACAUAAAUACAAAAGAUAAUUCUUGUGGAAAAAAAAAAAUCUGUAUAUCUAAACUGCUUAAAGGAGAAAAGGAGGUGGCAUAAAGACAGAAAAUAAGAGCUAAUAAGGAAGAAAUAGCAACAGACAAAGGAGAAAUGGAAAGAAAUUUGGUUUCCCUCAGUUGUGAAAUGGGGAAAUUAAUUCAUGCUAAUCCAUGGGACUUCAGUGAAUUAGAAUUAAUUAAUUAACAUAUUUAUUUAUUUUGUCUUUUUUUUAGAGCCGCACACAUGGCAUAUGAAGCUUCCCAGGCUAGGGAUCUAAUCGGAGCUGUAGCCACUGGCCUACACCACAGCCACAGUAAUGUCAGAUUCGAGCCACGUCUACGACCUACCCCACAGCUCACAGCAACACCCGAUCCUUAACCCAUUGAGUGAGGCCAGGGAUCGAACCUGCAACUUCAUGGUUUCUAGUCGGAUCUGUUUCUGCUGUGCCAUGAUGGGAACUCCAUUAGAAUUAAUAUAUUUAAAACUUCUGAUCCUGUGUGGUACAUAGGAGGUGUUCACUUCAUGGCAAAUACCAUUGCUGCUGGUGAUGUAAGUUUAGAUGUUAGUAUUACCGUUUUUGCCCUACUGCACUGUUGCUAGUCCUACUGCAUCCUAGUACUGCUAUGGACUAUUUCUACCAUUACUGUCCCAACUAAACUGCAAUGAUAGUAAUAACUUGCCCAGAUGCUCUUGGAACAUCUGAGAUGGACAUGUAACCCAGUUGGAGAGGACAAGGAAGCUUUGCUGAAGAGAAGCGGAACAAACUGUAUGUUCAAGUACAACUAAGAAAUGCAGGGAAGGGGGGUUCCCAUUGUGGCUCAGUGAAAAUGAACCCCACUAGUAUCCAUGGGAUGCAGAUUCGAUCCCUGGCCUCGCUCAGUGGGUUAAGGAUUUGGCGUUGCCUUGAGCUGUGGUGUAGGUCACAGACAUGGCUCGGAUCCUGUGUUCCUGUGGCUGUGGUGUAGGCUGGCAGAUGCAGUUCUGAUUUGCCCCCUAGCCUGGGACCCUCCAUAUGCCGUGGGUGUGGCCCUAAAAAAAAA
rnacentral:lncRNA from 1 species